rnacentral:rRNA from 1 species
UACGGAGGGUGCAAGCGUUGCUCGGAAUUAUUGGGCGUAAAGGGCAGGUAGGUGGUCUCGUUUGUCUAGGGUGAAAGCCUUGAGCUUAACUCAAGAAGUGCCCUAGAAACGGCGAGACUAGAGUUCUGGAGAGGGUCGUGGAAUUCCCGGUGUAGCGGUGAAAUGCGUAGAGAUCGGGAGGAACACCAGAGGCGAAGGCGGCGACCUGGACAGAUACUGACACUCAACUGCGAAAGCAUGGGGAGCAAACAGG